CGCCCACCCAGGAGGGGUCUGUGUCAUGUGUUUCUCGUGGCCCCGCCAACCCAGGAAGAGUGGUCUUUAAGAGCGUGUUGGAUUCUGUGGGACUCGGAAGAGGUGCCUGAACUUCCCUGUGCUUUUGAAGUCAAGGGACUCCUCCCAGUGAUUAGGAGCAGUGGAACCGUCCGGAUCCUGCCCUUGGUCCAUGCCUUUGGCCUUUGGUCAUGUAGUGGCGGCCCUUUGGGCUCUGCCAUUUGUGUUUCAGAUCAUCAGUUCUGCUAUGUGAAUGGGCAGGACUCUCCAUCGCCUUGGCAAGACAAGGUGCUCCUCGUCCAGGAAGUGUUAGGAGUCCUAGGAGCCAGCUCCUCCCAUGGGAUGUGGGCUCCCGAUGGAGGACAGAGUCUCUUCAGGGCCCUCCUGGGCUACUGAAAUGGUCCAAGAAAACCCUUCAAGUUGACUUCCCUUCUCUAAUAUUCAAUUUUCUUGUCCAUCCAGUGGAAGAGUUGGAGUUGAUACUUGAUCCAUUUCAGCUCUAACUUACUAAAGUCUGUGAUGGCUCUGGACCUUCAUGUUUCAGGACCAGGCCUGGUCCUUCUCAGCUCUCACACUGAAGCCUCAGAACCAGCCUCACUUGGAGGGUGGUCUUCAGCUCCCAGCCAAAAGCCUCGCUUGAACCUCCUCACACUUCAAAGACAAGGAUGGUACCCGCAUGCCACUCAGCCCUUGGAAGGGAGAAACAGUUUGGCAAAGGCCACAGAAUGGACCUCGUCUCCUUACACCGAGCCCAGGGCUCCAUUCAGCAGCCACCUUUCCACCCCCACCCCCAUCUCCUCCCCUCACCCCGAUAUGCAUCUACAUGGCUGCAAACAAGAGCAGCCAAGUGUAGGACCUCCACCCACUGCCAUCAGCAGACACUCAAGUGGACAGGCUGGACUGGAGAACAAGAACAAGAAAGAUCCCUCGGUGUCUGCAAUGGCUCAAACUUGA
rnacentral:lncRNA from 9 species